rnacentral:tRNA from 1 species
AGUCUGUAUCGGGGUUCGAACCCGGGGCCUUUCACAUGCGAGGCGAACGCUCUACUACUGAGUUACACCCC